GGCUGUUGAGGGUUUGUUAGGAGUUGUCUUUACAGUGGCUGCAUUAAUAGAUGAAGCAAUGGAUGUUGGUGAGCUUCAAUCUCCGAGAUGUGAUUCUGAUCCACCUAUUAUUAAGUCUACCGGGAAAACAACACAUCUCUGUCUCUCAAUGGUUGAUUCAUUUUGGUUGACCAUACUUGAUGCAUUGUCUCUUAUUUUGUCAAGGGUUGGUUAACUUUGUACCAAUGCAUUUGUAGUAGGAUUAUAAAAAUAGUAUUCUAGUAGUGCUUUCUUUUUAUUUUUUUAAUUAGCUUUGAGUCACUUUCGCAGGUCACAAGGAGAGGCUAUUGUGUUGGAAAAACUAAAGGGAUAUCAAGCAUUCACACAGGCAUGUGGGGUUCUUCACGCCAUUAAACCUUUAAACUUCUUUUUAGCAUCACUUUGCAAGUUUACUAUAAAUUUUCCAAAUGAAGCAGAGAAAAUGAGGUACUGAAUUAUUUUGCAAGUUUAAUAUGUCUUUGAAAUUCUUAUGUUCAUGUUCUACUAUCUUUAUGAUGAACAAUGGUCAGAUUUAUUUUUUGAAGUACUAUGGUGAUCUUGUAUUAUUUUAUCAUUUGGGACUUUAGUUUUCUCAUUUUUUUAAAAAUUAUUUUUUAUAGAUGCUGCUUGCAUAAGUUUCACCUCCUUAAUGUUUUAAUUUUUUUUUCUUUACCUAUAAUUUUUUUUUACAACAUGUUUGCAUUAAAAAAAAAAACAGAUAGAAGGAAAACAAAGAGCCAAAAACUGAGAUAAAAUGAAAUCAAAUUACAAGCAUUGUUUCCAACUCAUCAUUAACAAGGAAAAUGAAACCUAAGAGGGAUAACUCAAAUGGUCAGGCAUGUGGUUUGCUACCACAAGUUUGAGGUUCGAGUCCCUCCUGAGUACCUAUAUAGCAACUACUAUAAUUUUUUUGUCCCAAAUAUUUUAAAGUUAGGCAAGGAUUCCUAGUAAAAAAAAAUGAACAUAUUCAAAAGUCUUUGAUGGAAAAAUCCAAUGAAAAGACCUGUGGUUUACUUUCACAUAAUUUUUGUUCUUAGACACAUUAUCAAACCUUUGACUAAUUGAGGAGGUUGUUGUAACCAUUUUCUAUUUUAAGAGGUGUCAGGGUCUUAAUGUAGUUAUGGCUAAAGUAAAGGGUCAUGGUGUAUUUUUCAUUUGGGUCCCAGUAUCUUAUCUUUUUCAGUGACCUAACAAUAUAGAAGUUUUUGGUUUAAUUUGAGAUUUUGGCAGUGCUUUACAGUCUCCUGGUUCGAAACGCUCUGAAUGAUCAGUUGAUCAAAGAGAAAGCAUUGUCCUUACCCCCAAAAAUGUGCAGGUGGUUGGAAUUUAAAGAUUUAGUUUAAUAAUAACAAGCAAGGUAAAUUUCAUCUGAGGUUCAUGCAUAUCUAUGUAAUAAUCUAUUUGGUUUUAAGGGAAAUUAAAUUUAAAAUUUGUACAUUGGAUUCCUUACCACGUCUGAGUAAUUUUUAGGAUGUUCCAGACGUCUACAGUUUUCUAGGCUUUGAAAGUGCUUAUAAAUGAAUGAUUAUUUGU